GAACAUAUGUUGCAGGCUACUGUCUGGGAGCUGUCGGAGCCCUAGACCACAAAGACCAGGCACGCUGAGACCCAGGUGAAUACCCGGCUGUCCGUGGAAACCCAUGAGGGGAAGGAGUCAUCAGGAACUUUGCCUUGCAACUACCCCAGAGAACUAGAGGACCUGUAGACUAUGGAGCAGGAAGGCAAGGUCCACUUGGAAAAUCCCCCACAGUCGGAAGAUUAAUCUGGCCAUAUCAGAAUGUAGUGACCAUUCAUGAUGAUUGGUGAAGGACCUGCUCAACUGAUCUUCUGCAUAUUUUGUGCCCCUGAAAGGUGAAUAGGCCAAUCAACAACUUUGCCCUUAGACACCGAAUAUAUGAAACCACUAUCCACUUCUCAUCUCCAAGGGGAACAAGGCAUGUGGAUGGGAAUUCUAUCAAAUGGUAUUUUCAGAGAAGCAGGUAAGUAACUAUUCCUCUCAAAGAUACCAUAUCAACUGGAUUCAGAUUGUUGGAGACUAAAACCUCAAGGGGAGAUUCCACAAAUCCACCGAUUCGCCAGUCAUGGAGGGAGACAAAGUUACUGCAGAAAUCUGAAGUUUAUGCUAAAAAGACUUUAUACAAACAAAUGAUUAGGAUCUUCAGGAAAAAACUAUAAGAGCCACGGGCUGUGUUCCAUUCUCUAGUACUGAGUGUUUCAUUUCCAGGUGUCCAAAGCCAGCCUGCCAAAUAUCAGGAGACAUAAGAGACUGAGAGAGGCCCUAUCAGAGAUUUGACAGGACUGAGGCACAACUUCAAUAGCAUAUUCAGAAGAAUUUGCCUUUCUGGCAAGACUAAAGGGAAGAUUCCAGCUUUCUCUCUGGAUCCCAACAAUAAUGUUCAUAAUAGUAUAUUGUGAGUGUAUGUUAACUUUCUCAGUCUGUCUCUCGAAGAAUGGAGGCAGGGGCUUGUGUCAGCAACAAAUAUGAACUGAAUUUGCUGGAAUAAGUACAUUUUUAAUAAUCGAAAGAAAGGCUGUGUAGAACAGUUUGUGCCAUUGUUUUGAAACUCAAUAGCAUCUUAUCUAUGUUUACAUUUAGGGAGAAUAAUGGCUAGCUGUUAGUCAGCUGGAAAAU